rnacentral:rRNA from 1 species
UACGGAGGGUGCAAACGUUGCUCGGAAUCAUUGGGCGUAAAGCGCACGUAGGCGGUCCAGUAAGUCGGGUGUGAAAGCCCUCGGCUCAACCGAGGAAGUGCAUUCGAAACUACUGAACUUGAGUAUGGAAGAGGGUCGCGGAAUUCCCGGUGUAGAGGUGAAAUUCGUAGAUAUCGGGAGGAACACCAGUGGCGAAGGCGGCGACCUGGGCCAAUACUGACGCUGAGGUGCGAAAGCGUGGGGAGCAAACAGGG